UGGAAUUUCAUGGUUUCGAGGAUUAAAUGCAACAUCCAUAGUAACACCUUCUACUGUGUAGGCACUACAGAUAAAAUUAUAGAUGUCAUACAAUUUUUAAAAGGAGAACAUGAAUAAGACAGCAAGUGUGAGAAUAGAAAAUUAAAACUUAUAUCGAACACCUGGUGCCUUCAUUCGGAUUAUGUGGGGAGAAUGGUUCCAAGACUGUUGUUGUGCUUUUGUAUAGGUUUUGAGGAGGCAAGUCUUGGAGCAUGGUAGUCACAGGGGACAACCUUAAGAUAUUUGUUGGUGUGCCUUCUUCAUGAUUUUGAAGAGGAUUUUCUUGAUUCAUGAUGGCCACAAACAACCACCGUGAAACAAUUGUUGUAGUAUCUUCAUUAAGAUUUUGAAGCAAGGUGGUUGACGAUGAAAAGCUAUGUUACCCCACCUUUAUUGUUUUAUCCAAAUUUUUUCUUCUUUUUUCCUUCCAAAAGUUUUCUUGAAACAUAAAUGAUCAUAGAGAAAAAUACUAAUAGUACUAAUUAAGUUUAGUUAUUUAUAACAAUUUUUCGUUACGUCGUGUCUUACUCUCCUUGAACACAUAUACUGUCAGCACCAAAAUCAAGUCAAUAUAAUGUCAAUAAAAUAAUUUGCAAAUAAAGCCAAUAGUGAGACACAACAGUAGUAUAUGAGUUCAAUUCAAAUAAGAGGAAAGGAAAAUAUCAGUAUUGACAAUCAUUCAACAGUAAUAAUGAUACUUUUGCUAGUAAAUCAUUCAACAGUAAUUAUUU
rnacentral:lncRNA from 1 species